CCGGUGAGGGAUGGGCCCGCGGCCUAUCAGCUUGUUGGUGGGGUAACGGCCCACCAAGGCGACGACGGGUAGCUGGUCUGAGAGGACGACCAGCCACACUGGGACUGAGAUACGGCCCAG
rnacentral:rRNA from 1 species